UUUUUUUUUUUUUUUUUUUUGCCACACCCGUAGAAUAUGUAAGUUCCCAGGCCGGGGAUCAAACCCUCACCACAGUAGUAACCUGAGCUGAUGCAGUGACAAUGCCGGAUCCUUAACCUGCUGAGCCACAAAAGAACUCCAAGACUAUUUUCGAUGGAGACGCUUCUUCUUCCUGCUCCAGCCCUCUCUAUCAUUGCUCCUACCCUAGUGAGAAGUACUCACCUGUCCUUCUCCCCUACCAGAAUAUAAAUCCAUCGGAGGCAGGGCUUCUAUUACUUUCCUUCCCAUCCCUAAUGGCAACUCAGCACUCUGAGCACACCAUGCUCUUACAAAUAUCUGCUGAAUGAAUAAAUGAAAACCAGCUGCCUCGUCCAUACAGUAUAAAACCAAAGCCCAGAGCAGGCUGAUUUCAGGAAGUCAGAUCUUCUCCACUGAGAGAACAGAAAAUACUCCAUGCAAAGAUAGAGCCUCCUCUACCAUCCUGGCCCUGGCACAACCCAUGGUGGAGAGAAAGAAUGACACAGCAAAUAGCUUGGGCUUUGGAGGCAGGGGACCCAGGGUCACCACCCACCGCUGUAGGUGGUCCUGUGUGGCCCUGGACCGCCUGCUUAACUUCCUGAGCCUUGGGUCCCUCUUUCUUCAUCCAGGGAUAAUAAUAACCCCCACCUUGUGUUGUCACGAGGAGUAACUGAAGUUACACGCGUAAAACUGUUAGCACUUGGCAGACACUUAGAGCUGGUCCCACCCAGCCCACUGCCUUUCAAUGUUACCAAAGCAGAGUCAGCGCCUCAUGAUAUCUGUUAUCCUAACACACAGGCAGCUCCUGCCGAUGAGACUCAAUCUAAACACAGGGAAGGAGCAAAGACUAGCUUCCUGGACCGUAAACUUGGGAGGCACUUAGGCACAGCCCAGAGUACUUGGACUGGGGCCAAGAACUUCCAGCUCCCUGACCGGGACACAGAAAUCUCAGAGGCCCCUCCAUCACCCAACGCAGCUCCCAAGGACUUCAUGUCAAUGUCCCCCACCCCUUCCAGAAGAAAGAGAAACAGAAGAAAAUCUGAAAGAACACGAGGAAACGUUAACAGUGGUUAGCUCUUGUGACAAGAGUCCAGGUGACUUUUUAAAAAAAAUUUUUUAAAGAAUUUUUAUUAAAGUACAGUUGAUUUAUAAUGUUGUGCCCAGGUGACUUUUUUUAAAAAAAUUUUUAAGGAAUUUUUAUUAUAGUUGAUUUGGAGUUCCCGUCGUGGCUCAGUGGUUAACAAAUCCAACUAGGAACCAUGAGGUUGAGGGUUUGAUCCCUGGUCUCGGUCAGUGGGUUAAGGAUCCGGCGUUGCUGUGAGCUGUGGUGUAGGCUGGCAGCUGUAGCUCCAAUGAGACCUCUAGCUUGGGAACUCCCAUAUGCUGCAAGCGCGGCUCUAAAAAGAAAAAACAAAAACAAAAACACCACCAAAACACUCAAUUUAAUGCAACGAGAGAGUGAUGAUCCAUUUCUUUUCUUUUUUCUUUUUAUGGCUGAACCCUCAGCAUAUGUAAAUUCCUGGGCUAGGGGUCAAAUUGGAGCCACAGCUGCCAGCCUAUGCCACAGCCACAGCAAUGCCAGAUCCUAGCUGGAUCUGCAACCUACACUGCCGCUUGCACCAACACUGGGUCCUUAACCCUCUGAGCGAGGCCAGGGAUCGAAGCCGCAUUCUCUCGGACACCAUGUUGGGUUCUUAAUCCACUGAACCACAAUGCAAACACCAGACGAUUCAUUUCAAAAAGGGCCUUUACAGGUAUGCUCUCCAUAGCUCAUUUCAUUCACCCACAAACUGGAGUGAGUGCCCCCAUCUCUCAUUUUCCAAAAUAAGUCAGCUCCUCAAAGUUUUCUGACCAAAGGGGCAAAAGUGGGACUGGGAUCCAGGUCUCCUAACUCCUCUUCCUUUGUCGACUGGCGCAGGGGGAAUGAGUGAGCAAACUGGAGAAAGGUUUUCCUCCACUUCCAUCUAAAUUUGCUGAGAGUUUCAGGCUAACCCCUGGCAGCCCUGAACACACACAGGCCACUUCGGUUCAUCCUGAGCUCCCUGUGGGGGGUGAUUAGCAAAUGACCAGCCCCAAAGCUUCAUCAGCGAAAGAGACAGAAAAGAAUGCUUUCUUCACCCUGCCCUCACCACCCCCUACAGAUUCUCCCCACCGGGGGCACCGAAGGGCCUGGAAACCUCACAUCCAACCAUUAAUUGCACAGCAGGUCCCUGCCAAGCACAUCCUCUCCACCCGGGAUUUCACUUUGCACGCGGAGGUCCCUGCCAGAUCCCAAACUGCAGCUUCCCAUCCUGAAAUUAAAAAACAACAAGCCGCCAAACCUAAGCCAAGCAGGGCCCUGAGAAUGCCAGCAUCCCGGCUGGGAGGGUGCCUCCCACGCAGUGGUGAGGGGCAGACGCUGCCCUGUUCUCAGCCUGGACAAGGGGACCUGUCCCCCCCAAGGCCUUGGCAGCGGGGGGCAGCCAACCGGGUGCAAGCCCUAUUCUGUGCAGCACGGCAGCUGCUCUCAGCAGCAGGCCAGGGCCCCGGCCAGGCCUGGAUGUGGGAGAUGGGCCUGCUGGAAAUGGCAUCAUGCUGAGCCCUCACGGGGGAGGUGGGCAACCUGCCUAAGGAAAUGGCAUAAGACCUCCGCGUCCUGGCUGACAUGAGCUGACCCAGGAGCCCACC
rnacentral:lncRNA from 1 species